GACGAACGCUGGCGGCGUGCUUAACACAUGCAAGUCGAACGGAAAGGCCCUGCUUUUGUGGGGUGCUCGAGUGGCGAACGGGUGAGUAACACGUGAGUAACCUGCCCUUGACUUUGGGAUAACUUCAGGCAACUGGGGCCAAUACCGGAUAGGAGCUCCUGCUGCAUGGUGGGGGAUGGAAAGUUUCGGCGGUUGGGGAUAGACUCGCGGGUUAUCAGCUUGUUGGUGGGGUAGCGGCUUACCAAGGCUUUGACGGGUAGCCGGCCUGAGAGGGUGACCGGCCACAUUGGGACUGAGAUACAGCGCAGACUCCUACGGGAGGCAGCGGUGUGGAAUAUUGCACAAUGGGCGGAAGCCUGAUGCAGCAACGCCGCGUGCGGGAUGACGGCCUUCGGGUUGUGAACCGCGUUCGCCGGUGACGAAGCGUGAGUGACGGUAAUGGGUGAAGAAGCACCGGCUAACUACGUG
rnacentral:rRNA from 1 species